rnacentral:rRNA from 1 species
GGGGUGGAUGCAUGGGCGCAGCCUGAUGCAGCCAUGCCGCGUGUGUGAAGAAGGCCUUCGGGUUGUAAAGCACUUUCAGUUGUGAGGAAAAGGUAGUAGUUAAUACCUGCUACCCGUGACGUUAACAACAGAAGAAGCACCGGCUAACUCCGUGCCAGCAGCCGCGGUAAUACGGAGGGUGCGAGCGUUAAUCGGAAUUACUGGGCGUAAAGCGCACGCAGGCGGUUUGUUAAGCUAGAUGUGAAAGCCCCGGGCUCAACCUGGGAUGGUCAUUUGAAACUGGCAGACUAGAGUCUUGGAGAGGGGAGUGGAAUUCCAGGUGUAGCGGUGAAAUGCGUAGAUAUCUGGAGGAACAUCGGUGGCGAAGGCGACUCCCUGGACAAAGACUGACACUCAUGUGCGAAAGUGUGGGUAGCGAACAGGAUUAGAUACCCUGGUAGUCCACACCGUAAACGCUGUCUACUAGCUGUGUGUGUCUUUAAGACGUGCGUAUCGAAGCUAACGCGCUAAGUAGACCGCCUGGGGAGUACGGCCGCAAGGUUAAAACUCAAAUGAAUUGACGGGGGCCCGCACAAGCGGUGGAGCAUGUGGUUUAAUUCGAUGCAACGCGAAGAACCUUACCUACUCUUGACAUGCUGAGAAGUUACUAGAGAUAGUUUCGUGCCUUCGGGAACUCUGACACAGGUGCUGCAUGGCUGUCGUCAGCUCGUGUCGUGAGAUGUUGGGUUAAGUCCCGCAACGAGCGCAACCCUUGUCCUUGUUUGCCAGCCAUAAGUUGGGCACUCUAAAGAGACUGCCGAGUGACAAACCAGAGAAGGUGGGGGACGACGUCAAGUCAUCAUGGCGCCUUACGUGUAGGGCUACACACGUGCUACAAUGGCAUUUACAGAGGGAAGCGAGACAGUGAUGUGGAGCGGACAAUCUUAAAGAAUGUCGUAGUCUGCAGUGGAGUCUGUACUCGACUCCCUCAAAUCGCAAACGCUAGUAAUACGCAGGUCAUCAAUACUGCGAUGAAUACUUUUUUCCGGCCUUGUACGCACUACCCCCUCACACCCUGGUGAGUGUGAUCCAGUAAGAAGAAUUUAGACUAUCAUUCUUUAGGGACGACUGACGACCAUUUUUGUUUCUUGAUGAGGUCAUGAAGACGUAAUACAGGUACCCACCACUU